CUGUCCUACGGGGGGCAGCAGUGGGGAAUAUUGCACAAUGGGGGGAACCCUGAUGCAGCGACGCCGCGUGAGUGAAGAAGUAUUUCGGUAUGUAAAGCUCUAUCAGCAGGGAAGAAAAUGACGGUACCUGACUAAGAAGCCCCGGCUAACUACGUGCCAGCAGCCGCGGCAAUACGUAGGGGGCAAGCGUUAUCCGGAUUUACUGGGUGUAAAGGGAGCGUAGACGGUUAUGCAAGUCUGAAGUGAAAGCCCAAGGCUCA
rnacentral:rRNA from 1 species